rnacentral:rRNA from 2 species
GACCUCAAAUCAGGUAAGAAUACCCGCUGAACUUAAGCAUAUCAAUAAGCGGAGGAAAAGAAAAUAACAAUGAUUCCCUCAGUAACGGCGAGCGAAGAGGGAUAAGCUCAAAUUUUAAAUCUGCUGGGUUUCACCUAACAGAGUUGUAUUUUGAAGAAACGUUUUCUGCGUCCCGGGUUAGCCUAAGUCCUUUGGGAUAAGGUAUCAUGGAGGGUGAGAAUCCCGUUCAUGGUUAAUCUUGAGGAUGCUCUACGAUACGUUUUCCAAGAGUCGAGUUGUUUGGGAUUGCAGCUCAAAAUGGGAGGUAAAUUUCUCCUAAGGCUAAAUAUUGGCGAGAGACCGAUAGCGAACAAGUACCGUGAGGGAAAGAUGAAAAGAACUUUGAAAAGAGAGUUAAACAGUACGUGAAAUUGUUGAAAGGGAAACGAUUGAAGUCAGUCAUACCAACGGGAAAUCAACCUUUUGAGCUUUGUCUCGUGGGUUCGAAGAGUUUAAACGCCUUCGGGUUCGCGAGAUUGGGAUCUUCUGGUGUACUUUCUCGUACGGUUAGUCAACAUCGGUUUUGAAUGUCAUAAAAUGACUGGAGGAAUGUAGCUUCGAUCUCGUAUCGAAGUGUUAUAGCCUUUGGUAGAUGUGAUGUUUGAGACCGAGGAUUGCAACGGAUACCCUUUAAGGGCUAUUCGUCUGAUCUCUGAUACGUUGCCUUGACGUUGAAAGCUUGCUUAUGAUGUUAGGGUAUUACGGUCAAAAGGUUAGAACGGAUUAAAUUCGUUAAGGAUGUUGACGUAAUGACUUUAAACGACCCGUCUUGAAACACGGACCAAGGAGUCUAACAUAUAUGCGAGUGUUUGGGUGGUUAAACCCUUGCGCGUAAUGAAAGUGAUUUUGGUGAGAUCCGGGAAACAUUUUUCGGAGCAUCAUCGACCGAUCAGGAUAUUU